UAGGGAAUCUUCCGCAAUGGGCGAAAGCCUGACGGAGCAACGCCGCGUGAGUGAUGAAGGUCUUCGGAUCGUAAAACUCUGUUAUUAGGGAAGAACAAAUGUGUCAGUAACUAUGCACGUCUUGACGGUACCUAAUCAGCAAGCCACGGCUAACUACGUGCCAGCAGCCGCGGUAUUACGUCGGUGGCAAGCGUUAUCCGGAAUUAUUGGGCGUAAAGCGCGCGUAGGCGGUUUUUUAAGUCUGAUGUGAAAGCCCACGGCUCAACCGUGGAGGGUCAUUGGAAACUGGAAGACUUGAGUGCAGAAGAGGAAAGUGGAAUUCCAUGUGUAGCGGUGAAAUGCGCAGAGAUAUGGAGGAACACCAGUGGCGAAGGCGGCUUUCUGGUCUGUAACUGACGCUGAUGUGCGAAGGCGUGGGGAUCAAACAGG
rnacentral:rRNA from 1 species